rnacentral:rRNA from 1 species
UAAAGACCUAUAACUAAGCCGGUCAAUACAAACUACAGUUUUAAAUCCAAAGAAUUUGGCGGUAUCUUAAAUAAUCAGGGGAACCUGUACCUUAAAUUGAUAAUCCACACACAUCUAACCUUAUCUUGAACUUCAGCCUGUGUACUGCUGUCGCCAGUAAACCUCUAAAAGAGUUUACAGCCAUAAUCAUCUUAUCUACGUCAAGUCAAAGUGCAGCCCAUGAUAAGGUGGCUUAUGGGUUACAACUUCCAAACAAACAACGGACUAUUAAAAUAAAAAUAAUACAAAGGUGGACUUGAUAGUAAUAUCUAUUAAACUACUGAUAUAAACUAAAACCUAAGAUAUGCACACAUCGCCCGUCGCUCUCACCCAACUUG